rnacentral:rRNA from 1 species
UACAGAGGGGGCAAGCGUUGUUCGGAAUUACUGGGCGUAAAGGGCGCGUAGGUGGCCUUCUAAGUUGAACGUGAAAUCCCUGGGCUCAACCCAGGAACUGCGUCCACGACUGGGAGGCUUGAAUCCGGGAGAGGGAUGCGGAAUUCCAGGUGUAGCGGUGAAAUGCGUAGAUAUCUGGAGGAGCACCGGUGGCGAAGGCGGCAUCCUGGACCGGUAUUGACACUGAGGCGCGAAAGCCAGGGGAGCAAACGGG